AGUGAACGCUGGCGGUAGGCCUAACACAUGCAAGUCGAACGGCAGCACAGGAGAGCUUGCUCUCUGGGUGGCGAGUGGCGGACGGGUGAGGAAUACAUCGGAAUCUACUCUGUCGUGGGGGAUAACGUAGGGAAACUUACGCUAAUACCGCAUACGACCUACGGGUGAAAGCAGGGGAUCUUCGGACCUUGCGCGAUUGAAUGAGCCGAUGUCGGAUUAGCUAGUUGGCGGGGUAAAGGCCCACCAAGGCGACGAUCCGUAGCUGGUCUGAGAGGAUGAGCAGCCACACUGGAACUGGGACACGGUCCAUACUCCUACGGGAGGCAGCAGUGGGAAUAUUGGACAAUGGGCGCAAGCCUGAUCCAGCCAUACCGCGUGGGUGAAGAAGGCCUUCGGGUUGUAAAGCCCUUUUGUUGGGAAAGAAAUCCAGCUGGCUAAUACCCGGUUGGGAUGACGGUACCCAAAGAAUAAGCACCGGCUAACUUCGUGCCAGCCGCCGCGGUAA
rnacentral:rRNA from 1 species